AAGAAUGAAGAAGUAACCUUUAGAGCAGGAAUGGAUAAUUACAAGAUGUUUACAUCUUGUAAACAAAGACAAAGGACUUGUAUGAAGAAUAUGUAAAGGGCUGGGCGCCUUGGCUUAAGCCUGUAAUUCCAGCACUUUGGGAGGCCGAGGCAGGUGGAUGACCUCAGGUCAAGAGUUCGAGACCAGCCUGGCCAAACUGGUGAAACCUCGUCUAUACUAAAAAUACAAAAAUUAGCCGGGCAUGGUGGCGCAUGCCUGUAAGUAAUCCCAGCUACUUGGGAGGGUGAGGCAGGAGAAUCACUUGAACUCAGGAGGCGGAGAUUGCAGUGAGCCGAGAUUGCGCCACUGCAUUCUAGCCUGGGUGACAGAGCAAGACUCCAUCUCAAAAAAAAAAAACCAAAAAAAAAAACCAUGUAAAGAAAUCCUGUAAGUCAGUAAGAAAGUCAGACAACUGAAUACAAAUACGGACAAAAGACUUAAGUAGGCAUCUCAUAAAAGAGGCUGUCCAAACAGCCAAUAAACACGUGAAAAAGUGCUUAUAUUCAUUAGUCAGCGAGGAAAUGCAAAUUAAGACCACAAUAUGCUACUAUGACACAUGCACUAGAAUGGCUAAAAUGAAAAAAAAUAAAACAUACCAAGUGUUGGUAAAAAAGUAGAGCAACUAGAAAUCUCAUAUGACCGCUUUGGACAACUGUUUGGCAACAGCUACCCAAGCUGAACAUAUGCACGCCCAGAAAACCUGCUCCCAGGCAUCUACCCAACAGCAAUGUGCAUGAGAUAAUGUGCUCUGAAAGACAUGCACAAGGAUGUUCACAGCAAUAAUUCUCAUAAUAGACAAACUCCAGAACUACCCAAACACCCCAGUAGUAGAAUGGAUGUUUUUAAAAAGUAGUAUAUUCACACAGUGGAAUUCUAUAUAGCAAUGAGAAUCGAACCAUCGUCAACUACACACAAUAAUAUUAAUGAAUCUCAUAAACAUUGUCUGGCCGGGUGCAGUGGCUUACACCUAUAAUCCCAGAACUUUGGGAGGCCAAGGCGGGCAGAUCACUUGAGGUCAGGAGUUCAAGACCAGCCCGGCCAACAUGGUGAAACCCCAUCUCUACAAAAAUACAAAAAUUAGCUGGGCAUGGUGGUGUGCACCUGUAAUCCCAGCUACUCGGGAGGCUGAGGCAGGAGAAUUGCUUGAACCCAGGAGAUGGAGGUUGCAGUGAGCUGAAAUCACGCCAUUGCACUCCAGUCUGGGUGACAGAGCGAGACUCCAUCACAAAAAAACAAAACAAAACAAAUUGUGUAAAGUGAGGAAGCCAGACAUACAGUACAAAAUGUUCAAAAAUAGGCAAAAGUAAUCCAUGGUGUUAGAAAUUAGGAUUGUGUAACCCUUGGAGAGUGACAGUGAUUGGAAGGGGGCAUGAGGGGGCUCCUGGGAUGCCAGUCAUAUACUGUUUCUUGAUCUCAGUGCUGAUUACAUGUGUACAUUCAGUUUGUGAACAUUCAUCAGACAGAACACUUAAAAUUUCUAUACCUUUUUUUUUUGAGACGGAAUAUUGCUCUGUUGCCCAGGCUGGAGUGCAGUGGCAUGAUGUCGGCUCACUGCAACCUCCGCCUCCCAGGUUCAAGCAAUUCUCCUGCCUCAGCCUCCUGAGGAGUUGGGAUUACAGGUGUGUG
rnacentral:lncRNA from 1 species